UGAGAGGGUUUCGGCUCGUAAACUCUGUUGUUAAGAAGAACAUAUCUGAGAGUAACUGUUCAGGUAUUGACGGUAUUUAACCAGAAAGCCACGGCUAACUACGUGCCAGCAGCCGCGGUAAUACGUAGGUGGCAAGCGUUGUCCGGAUUUAUUGGGCGUAAAGCGAGCGCAGGCGGUUUUUUAAGUCUGAUGUGAAAGCCUUCGGCUCAACCGAAGAAGUGCAUCGGAAACUGGGAAACUUGAGUGCAGAAGAGGACAGUGGAACUCCAUGUGUAGCGGUGAAAUGCGUAGAUAUAUGGAAGAACACCAGUGGCGAAGGCGGCUGUCUGGUCUGUAACUGACGCUGAGGCUCGAAAGUAUGGGUAGCAAACAGGAUUAGAUACCCUGGUAGUCCAUACCGUAAACGAUGAAUGCUAAGUGUUGGAGGGUUUCCGCCCUUCAGUGCUGCAGCUAACGCAUUAAGCAUUCCGCCUGGGGAGUACGGCCGCAAGGCUGAAACUCAAAGGAAUUGACGGGGGCCCGCACAAGCGGUGGAGCAUGUGGUUUAAUUCGAAGCUACGCGAAGAACCUUACCAGGUCUUGACAUACUAUGUCAAAUCUAAGAGAUUAGACGUUCCCUUCGGGGACAUGGGAUACAGGUGGUGCAUGGUUGUCGUCAGCUCGUGUCGUGAGAUGUUGGGUUAAGUCCCGCAACGAGCGCAACCCUUAUUAUCAGUUGCCAGCAUUAAGUUGGGCACUCUGGUGAGACUGCCGGUGACAAACCGGAGGAAGGUGGGGAUGACGUCAAAUCAUCAUGCCCCUUAUGACCUGGGCUACACACGUGCUACAAUGGAUGGUACAACGAGUUGCGAACUCGCGAGAGUAAGCUAAUCUCUUAAAGCCAUUCUCAGUUCGGAUUGUAGGCUGCAACUCGCCUACAUGAAGUCGGAAUCGCUAGUAAUCGCGGAUCAGCAUGCCGCGGUGAAUACGUUCCCGGGCCUUGUACACACCGCCCGUCACACCAUGAGAGUUUGUAACACCCAAAGUCGGUGGGGUAACCUUUUAGGAACCAGCCGCCUAAGGUGGGACAGAUGAUUAGGGUGAAGUCGUAACAAGGGUAGCCGUA
rnacentral:rRNA from 2 species